UACGUAGGGUGCAAGCGUUGUCCGGAAUUAUUGGGCGUAAAGAGCUCGUAGGCGGUUUGUUGCGUCGGCUGUGAAAUCCCGAGGCUCAACCUCGGGUCUGCAGUCGAUACGAGCAAACUAGAGUGUUGCAGGGGGAGACUGGAAUUCCUGGUGUAGCGGUGAAAAUGCGCAGAUAUCAGGGAGGGAAACACCCGGGUUGGGCGAAAGGGCGGGG
rnacentral:rRNA from 1 species